rnacentral:tRNA from 1 species
GGUCAGGUGGCUGAGAGGUCGAAAGCACAUCUUUGCUAAAGAUGCGUACUCGGAAGGGUACCGUGGGUUCGAAUCCCACCCUGACCG